rnacentral:rRNA from 1 species
GAUGAACGCUGGCGGCGUGCUUAACACAUGCAAGUCGAACGGAAAGGCUCCUGCUUGCAGGGGUACUCGAGCGGCGAACGGGUGAGUAACACGUGGGUGAUCUGCCCUGCACUUCGGGAUAAGCCUGGGAAACUGGGUCUAAUACCGGAUAGGACCACAUUUUGGAUGGUGUGGUGGAAAGUUUUUCGGUGUGGGAUGAGCUCGCGGCCUAUCAGCUUGUUGGGGGGGUAAUGGCCUACCAAGGCGUCGACGGGUAGCCGGCCUGAGAGGGUGUACGGCCACAUUGGGACUGAGAUACGGCCCAGACUCCUACGGGAGGCGGCAGUGGGGAAUAUUGCACAAUGGGCGCAAGCCUGAUGCAGCGACGCCGCGUGGGGGAUGACGGCCUUCGGGUUGUAAACUCCUUUCGCUAGGGACGAAGCGCAAGUGACGGUACCUGGAGAAGAAGCACCGGCUAACUACGUG